rnacentral:rRNA from 1 species
ACGCGUGAAGUGACCGCCUGGGAGUACGUCGCAAGAUUAAACNCAAAGAAUUGACGGGGACCGCACAACGNUGGAUGAUGUGNAUUAAUUCGAUGCAACGCGAAAAACCUUACCUACCCUUGACAUGUCUGGAAUCCCGAAGAGAUUUGGGAGUGCUCGCAAGAGAACCGGAACACAGGUGCUGCAUGGCUGUCGUCAGCUCGUGUCGUGAGAUGUUGGGUUAAGUCCCGCAACGAGCGCAACCCUUGUCAUUAGUUGCUACGAAAGGGCACUCUAAUGAGACUGCCGGUGACGAACCGGAGGAAGGUGGGGAUGACGUCAAGUCCUCAUGGCCCUUAUGGGUAGGGCUUCACACGUCAUACAAUGGUCGGGACAGAGGGUCGCCAACCCGCGAGGGGGAGCCAAUCCCAGAAACCCGAUCGUAGUCCGGAUUGUAGUCUGCAACUCGACUACAUGAAGUCGGAAUCGCUAGUAAUCGCGGAUCAGCAUGUCGCGGUGAAUACGUUCCCGGGUUUUGUACACACCGCCCGUCACACCAUGGGAGUGGGUUUCACCAGAAGUAGUUAGCCUAACCGCAAGGGGGGCGAUUACCACGGUGGGGUUCAUGACUGGGGUGAAGUCGUAACAAGGUAGCCGGACCUGGUCU